rnacentral:rRNA from 1 species
UACGUAGGGGGCUAGCGUUGUCCGGAAUCAUUGGGCGUAAAGCGCGUGUAGGCGGCCCGGUAAGUCCGCUGUGAAAGUCGGGGGCUCAACCCUCGGAUGCCGGUGGAUACUGUCGGGCUCGAGUACGGAAGAGGCGAGUGGAAUUCCUGGUGUAGCGGUGAAAUGCGCAGAGAUCAGGAGGAACACCAAUUGCGAAGGCAGCUCGCUGGAACGUUACUGACGCUGAGACGCGAAAGCGUGGGGAGCAAACAGG